rnacentral:ribozyme from 12 species
UUCUUGUCUCUUCAUUUCCCUUUCUUCUUCAGUCAUUUACUUUCGACAUUUUGUGCAUGAUUUGUUUCGAUUCUCAGGGGUAGGCAAAGAGAGAGAAAGAAAAGGAAAGAAAAGAGAGAGACACCCUGUAAUUUU